ACCCCACUGAAAUAAGCCGGCAGCCUAUAGUAUCAAUUCCUGAGGUUGUGCGCUCGAAGUGGGAACAGCAAUUGUGGGAAUGUGUAUGGAUAUGUCUGCACGCAUUGCCAUGUCCAAAGGAAUCCCACUGACA